AAUAUGGAACAUAAAACGCGAUCCGGUUGGUAGUCCGGGUGCACAGCAACACGGUGUCAGUAACCCUCCCCCUUUGGGAUGUCCACUGUUCCCGUAGUUCUA
rnacentral:ncRNA from 1 species